GUUCGGUUUUUGUUUUUCUUUAAG
rnacentral:piRNA from 1 species